UACGUAGGGUGCGAGCGUUGUCCGGAAUUAUUGGGCGUAAAGGGCUCGUAGGCGGUUUGUCGCGUCGGGAGUGAAAACCUCGGGCUUAACUCGGGGCUUGCUUUCGAUACGGGCAGACUGGAGGUAUGCAGGGGAGAACGGAAUUCCUGGUGUAGCGGUGAAAUGCGCAGAUAUCAGGAGGAACACCGGUGGCGAAGGCGGUUCUCUGGGCAUGACCUGACGCUGAGGAGCGAAAGUGUGGGGAGCGAAC
rnacentral:rRNA from 2 species